GGCCGGUUAGCUCAGCUGGUUAGAGCGUGGUGCUAAUAACGCCAAGGCCCUGGGUUCGAUCCCCAUACUGGCCA
rnacentral:tRNA from 1 species